rnacentral:rRNA from 1 species
CAUACGGGCCCCCACGAGGUUCGGUGCCCCCGGGACCCCGUGGUGUUAUGCUUGCCCAUCUGCCCAGUACUGCGGGAUAACGUUUCGAAAGGAACGCUAAUACCGCAUACGUCCUACGGGAGAAAGGGGGGGAUCUUCGGACCUCUCGCUAUUGGAUGAGCCCAAGUCGGAUUAGCUAGUUGGUGGGGUAAAGGCCUACCAAGGCGACGAUCCGUAGCUGGUCUGAGAGGAUGAUCAGCCACACUGGAACUGAGACACGGUCCAGACUCCUACGGGAGGCAGCAGUGGGGAAUAUUGGACAAUGGGCGAAAGCCUGAUCCAGCCAUGCCGCGUGUGUGAAGAAGGCCUUCGGGUUGUAAAGCACUUUAAGUGGGGAGGAAUGGCUCUUGGUUAAUAACCUUGAGCAGUGACGUUACCCACAGAAUAAGCACCGGCUAACUCUGUGCCAGCAGCCGCGGUAAUACAGAGGGUGCAAGCGUUAAUCGGAAUUACUGGGCGUAAAGCGCGCGUAGGCGGUUGUAUAAGUUGGAGGUGAAAUCCCCGGGCUCAACCUGGGAAUUGCCUUCAAAACUGUACGGCUAGAGUGUGGGAGAGGAAGGUAGAAUUCCAGGUGUAGCGGUGAAAUGCGUAGAUAUCUGGAGGAAUACCGAUGGCGAAGGCAGCCUUCUGGCCUAACACUGACGCUGAGGUGCGAAAGCAUGGGGAGCAAACAGGAUUAGAUACCCUGGUAGUCCAUGCCGUAAACGAUGUCUACUAGCCGUUGGGGGACUUGAUCCUUUAGUGGCGCAGCUAACGCAUUAAGUAGACCGCCCUGGGGAGUACGGUCGCAAGACUAAAACUCAAAUGAAUUGGACGGGGGGCCCGCACAAGCGGGUGGAGCAUGUGGUUUAAUUUCGAUGCAAACGCCGAAGAACCUUACCUGGGCCUUGGACAUGUCCGGGAAACCCUUGGCAGAGACGCGGGGGUUGCCCUUCGGGAAAUCGGAAACACCAGGUUCCUGCAUGGCCUGGUC